rnacentral:rRNA from 1 species
GACGAACGCUGGCGGCGUGCUUAACACAUGCCAGUCGAACGGAAAGGCCUGCUUUCCCUUGUGGAUUGCGGGUACUCGAGUGGCGAACGGGUGAGUAACACGUGAGUGAUCUGCCCCCAACUUGGGUAUAAGCCUGGGAAACUGGGUCUAAUUCCCGAUAGGACUGCAGGGUGGUGCCUGUGGUGGAAAACGAUUUUCUAGUGGUUGGGGAUGAGCUCGCGGCCUAUCAGCUUGUUGGUGGGGUAAUGGCCUACCAAGGCGGCGACGGGUAGCCGGCCUGAGAGGGUGGACGGCCACAUUGGGACUGAGAUACGGCCCAGACUCCUACGGGAGGCAGCAGUGGGGAAUAUUGCACCAUGGGCGGAAGCCUGAUGCAGCGACGCCGCGUGGGGGAUGACGGCCUUCGGGUGGUAAACUCCUUUCGACCGCGAGGAAGCCACCUGGUUGGAAGGGUGGUGACGGUAGUGGUAGAAGAAGCACCGGCUAACUACGUG